UCCAUAUAUCUACGCAUUUCACCGCUACACAUGGAGUUCCACUUUCCUCUACUGCACUCAAGUCAUCCAGUUUCCAAAGCAAUUCCUCAGUUGAGCUGAGGGCUUUCACUUCAGACUUAAAUAACCGUCUGCGCUCGCUUUACGCCCAAUAAAUCCGGAUAACGCUUGGAACAUACGUAUUACCGCGGCUGCUGGCACGUAUUUAGCCGUUCCUUUCUGGUAAGAUACCGUCACACACUGAACAGUUACUCUCAGUGCCGUUCCUCUCUUAUAACAGUGUUUUACGAGCCGAAACCCUUCAUCACACACGCGGCGUUGCUCCAUCAGGCUUGCGCCCAUUGUGGAAGAUUCCUUACUGCUGCCUCCCGUAGGAGUAUGGGCCGUGUCUCAGUCCCAUUGUGGCCGAUCAGUCUCUCAACUCGGCUAUGCAUCAUUGCCUUGGUAAGCCAUUACCUUACCAACUAGCUAAUGCACCGCGGGUCCAUCUCUUAGUGAUAGCAGAACCAUCUUUCAACCAACAACCAUGCGGUUGUUGGUAUUAUAACCAGUGGCGAAGGCGGCUUUCUGGACUGUAACUGACGUUGAGGCUCGAAAGUGUGGGUAGCAAACAGGAUUAGAUACCCUGGUAGUCCACACCGUAAACGAUGAGUGCUAGAUGUUCGAGGGUUUCCGCCCUUGAGUGUCGCAGCUAACGCAUUAAGCACUCCGCCUGGGGAGUACGACCGCAAGGUUGAAACUCAAAGGAAUUGACGGGGACCCGCACAAGCGGUGGAGCAUGUGGUUUAAUUCGAAGCAACGCGAAGAACCUUACCAGGUCUUGACAUCCCUUGACAACGCUAGAAAUAGCGCGUUCCCUUCGGGGACAAGGUGACAGGUGGUGCAUGGUUGUCGUCAGCUCGUGUCGUGAGAUGUUGGGUUAAGUCCCGCAACGAGCGCAACCCUUAUUAUUAGUUGCCAGCAUUCAGUUGGGCACUCUAGUGAGACUGCCGGUGAUAAACCGGAGGAAGGUGGGGAUGACGUCAAAUCAUCAUGCCCCUUAUGACCUGGGCUACACACGUGCUACAAUGGCAUAUACAACGAGUCGCUAACCCGCGAGGGUACGCUAAUCUCUUAAAGUAUGUCUCAGUUCGGAUUGUAGGCUGCAACUCGCCUACAUGAAGUCGGAAUCGCUAGUAAUCGCGGAUCAGAACGCCGCGGUGAAUACGUUCCCGGGUCUUGUACACACCGCCCGUCACACCAUGAGAGUUUGUAACACCCAAAGCCGGUGGGGUAACCUUUUAGGAGCCAGCCGUCUAAGGUGGGACAGAUGAUUAGGGUGAAGUCGUAACAAGGUAAC
rnacentral:rRNA from 1 species